GGUAGGGUUAGGGUUAGGGUUAGGACAUGGGAAGUGGGUGAGACUCGGUGCCGCGAAGCGGUGCCGAGUCUCCAUGCACGGGCCAUCCUGCUCCGGCCCGGAUCCUUUGGGCGGUGCUCCAGCCCGGAUCACACUGGAUGACCGUGGCCCGAACUGACGACCAUCCAUGGGCAACAAAAUGGCUGACGAGAGGUGUCACAAUAAAUUAGAUAGACACAAUU